rnacentral:lncRNA from 1 species
CAUCAGUCAAUUUUAUGAUAAAGGAUACAAAGUCAUUUUUGAAUCUUUAGUUUGCAUUGUAACUAGUCCUAUUAAUGAAGGUAUUAAAUUUGUUGGGCAUAGAUAUGGUAAUGUUUAUAUGGUAGAUUUGAAUGAUCUUUUCAAAAUAAACAUGCAAUGCCUAGUAGCCUUGAAUGUCAAGAUUAAUGAGACUAGUUGGC